UACGAAGGGGGCUAGCGUUGCUCGGAAUCACUGGGCGUAAAGCGCACGUAGGCGGCUUUCUAAGUCAGGGGUGAAAUCCUGGAGCUCAACUCCAGAACUGCCUUUGAUACUCGAAAGCUUGAGUUCGGGAGAGGUGAGUGGAACUGCGAGUGUAGAGGUGAAAUUCGUAGAUAUUCGCAAGAACACCAGUGGCGAAGGCGGCUCACUGGCCCGAUACUGACGCUGAGGUGCGAAAGCGUGGGGAGCGAACAGG
rnacentral:rRNA from 1 species